rnacentral:rRNA from 1 species
GACGAACGCUGGCGGCGUGCUUAACACAUGCAAGUCGAACGGAAAGGCCCUGCUUUUGUGGGGUGCUCGAGUGGCGAACGGGUGAGUAACACGUGAGUAACCUGCCCUUGACUUUGGGAUAACUUCAGGAAACUGGGGCUAAUACCGGAUAGGAGCUCCUGCUGCAUGGUGGGGGUUGGAAAGUUUCGGCGGUUGGGGAUGGACUCGCGGGUGAUCAGCUUGUUGGUGGGGUAGUGGCUUACCAAGGCUUUGACGGGUAGCCGGCCUGAGAGGGUGACCGGCCACAUUGGGCCUGAGAUACGGCCCAGACUCCUACGGGAGGCAGCAGUGGGGAAUAUUGCACAAUGGGCGGAAGCCUGAUGCAGCAACGCCGCGUGCGGGAUGACGGCCUUCGGGUUGUAAACCGCUUUCGCCUGUGACGAAGCGUGAGUGACGGUAAUGGGUAAAGAAGCACCGGCUAACUACGUG